rnacentral:rRNA from 1 species
AACGAACGCUGGCGGCGUGCCUAACACAUGCAAGUCGAACGAGAAAGGGGCUUCGGCUCCGAGUAAAGUGGCGCACGGGUGAGUAACACGUGGGUAACCUGCCUCUAAGAUUGGGAUAACUCGUCGAAAGAUGAGCUAAUACCGGAUAAGACCACAGUUCCCGCGGGAACAGGGGUCAAAGGUAGCCUCUGCUUGCAAGCUAUCACUUAGAGAUGGGCCUGCGCACCAUUAGCUAGUUGGUAGGGUAACGGCCUACCAAGGCAAAGAUGGUUAGGUGGUCUGAGAGGAUGUUCAGCCACACUGGAACUGAGACACGGUCCAGACUCCUACGGGAGGCAGCAGUGGGGAAUAUUGCGCAAUGGGCGAAAGCUUGACGCAGCAACGCCGCGUGAGUGAUGAAGGCCUUCGGGUCGUAAAGCUCUGUCGGGAGGAACGAAUGCUCCCAAGGUUAACAGCCUCGGGAGGUGACGGUACCUUCAAAGGAAGCACCGGCUAACUCUGUGCCAGCAGCCGCGGUAAAAC